GUUUAUGUAGCUUAAUUAAAGCGUAGCGCUGAAAAUGCUAAUAUAGAUUUUAAUAUAUCUCAAAAACA
rnacentral:tRNA from 1 species